rnacentral:rRNA from 1 species
UACGUAGGGGGGCAAGCGUUGUCCGGAUUUAUUGGGCGUAAAGAGCGUGUAGGCGGUUUGUCGCGUCGGGAGUGAAAACCUCGGGCUUAACUCGGGGCUUGCUUUCGAUACGGGCAGACUAGAGGGUAUGCAGGGGAGAACGGAAUUCCUGGUGUAGCGGUGAAAUGCGCAGAUAUCAGGAGGAACACCGGUGGCGAAGGCGGUUCUCUGGGCAUGAUCUGACGCUGAGGAGCGAAAGUGUGGGGAGCGAACAGG